GGAUGGAUCAUUAAACACGUGUUUACACACGUUACCAACCAACCUGUGCAAGGAACCUUGCUGACAUAAAAAGCACUAGCCUUUAACGGGCUUGUGCUUCAUCGUGUGCACUUCAGUUUAUUCUGAAGCCCGUCAGCUUGUGAUCCGUUACUUUUUUCUUCUGUUCACGAUGUUUCCUUUUUUACAAACCUUAAAAACCCCAAAAUCAUUAUUUAAAUGACUUAACAAUUUCUUUCGAAAAGGACUUCUCUAUUAGCCCUCGGGCGAACGGAAGUAUCUGAAUAGAUAUGAAACCCUGUACAACUCUUAGCAACGGAUAUCUUGGUUUCUCGCACCGAUGAAGAACGCAGCGAAAUGCGAUACGUAAUGCGAAUUGCAGAAUUCAGUGAAUCAUCAAAUCUUUGAACGCAUCUUGCGCUCUCGGGAUAUGCCUGGGAGCAUGCCUCUUUGAGAAUCGGUUCUAACUUCACUCGUCUGCGUGCAGACGGAAAAUGGUAGUCUUGCUUCACCGCAAGUCCACUUAAAGACAUGGUGCAUCUGGAUGUUAUCGUUUUGCCUGAGAUUCGACUUUUCGAAGCGAUUUCGGACGUGCAAAAUGAACACGAGCUUGUCAUUCAACCCCGACUCAUUCGUAUGGGGCAACUCGCGUCAUCUAGCUGAUGUUUGGUAAUUCACCCUCGGGUGAUCAACUUUCUUACAUCUUGGCUAGGCCGCAACCGUUGCGUGAUACGGAGUCGCAGGGACGAGCAAUGCGUGCUUUCACGUUUUGCCGCUGUUUGCUUAUACGCAAACGGUAUUCCAAUCGUUCAGCGGGCUUGUUAAUCGAUUUUACAUUGCGCAUCAACGCCGAAGAACGCUCUAAGCUCUUUUUGUAGCUUGUGAGUUGCAAGUUUUUCAACUUUUUACGAAUUUUGAUCUCAAAUGAAGCAAGAUUACCCGCCGAAUUUAAGCAUAUUAUUAAGCGGAGGAAAAGAAACUAACAAGGAUUCCCCUAGUAACGGCGAGUGAAGCGGGAAAAGCUCAACUUGAAAAUCGGGCUGGCUAGCGCCAGUUCCGAGUUGUAUUCUAGAGACGUCUUCUCAGCGUGCGACCCGGGUAUAAAUCCUUUGAAACAGGGUAUCAUAGAGGGUGAGAAUCCCGUCUUUGACCCGGAGCUUGCCGCGUACGAGAGGCGUUUAAAGAGUCGAAUAGCUUGGGAGUGCUGUUCUAAGUGGGUGGUAAAUUUCAUCUAAAGCUAAAUAUUGGCGAGAGACCGAUAGCGAACAAGUACCGUGAGGGAAAGAUGAAAAGAACUUUGAAAAGAGAGUUAAAAAGUACUUGAAAUUGCUAAGAGGGAAGCUCUGAAAACCAGUCGGUGCCUGGGCUUAUAUUUUCUACUGGCAGCUAGGCCGGUGGCUCGCGGGGGACGUCAAAGCCUCGUGGGUUAUCGUGUUUGGUUGGCAGUAGCGUCUGUAGGCUUGGGCCAGUCAGGAUCAAGUAGGGUGGCGAGAGAAUACCGGUGGGAAGGUAGUCAUCAAUCAGCGAUGGUUGGUGAAACUUAUAGCCCGCUGGCCUAUAUCGUCGCUCUGCUUGAGGUCCCUCUGGGAAGACAAGGUGCGGCGCAAGUCUGUCCGUAUGGGUCUCUGCUUGGAGCCGUGAUUUGGAGGACAAAGUCCUGCUGGUUGCGCGCUUUAGGUACUGGGCUUGUUCUGGGCAUGCACCUUGGCGAUCCUGACGAAAUGGUUUUCAUAGACCCGUCUUGAAACACGGACCAAGGAGUCUAACAUAUAUGCGAGUAUUUGGGUGAGUUAAACCCUGGUGCGCAAUGAAAGUGAAGGUUGCCUUUGGCAGCUGAGGUACGAAACGUGGCUCUGCCGCGUGGCAGUAUCGACCGAUCGCUUGCUUGCAAGAGAUUUGAGUAAGAGCAUAUCUGUCGGGACCCGAAAGAAAGUGAACUAUGCCUGAUCAGGGCGAAGGGCCGACGAAAGUCGGCUGGAGGCUCGUAGCGAUACUGACGUGCAAAUCGUUCGUCUGAAUUGGGUAUAGGGGCGAAAGACUAAAUCGAACUUUCUAGUUGCUGGUUCCCUC
rnacentral:misc_RNA from 1 species